rnacentral:rRNA from 1 species
CGAAGGGGGCUAGCGUUGUUCGGAGUUACUGGGCGUAAAGGGCGCGUAGGCGGCCCUCCAAGUCGGGUGUGAAAGCCCACGGCUCAACCGUGGAAUUGCACUCGAGACUGAAGGGCUCGAGGACGGGAGAGGAUGGUGGAAUUCCCAGUGUAGAGGUGAAAUUCGUAGAUAUUGGGAAGAACACCGGUGGCGAAGGCGGCCAUCUGGACCGUAUCUGACGCUGAGGCGCGAAAGCGUGGGGAGCAAACAGGAUUAGAUACCCUGGUAGUCCACGCCGUAAACGAUGAGUGCUAGACGUUGGGGAACCUAGUUCUUCGGUGUCGCAGCUAACGCAUUAAGCACUCCGCCUGGGGAGUACGGCCGCAAGGUUA